rnacentral:rRNA from 1 species
AUUGAACGCUGGCGGCAGGCCUAACACAUGCAAGUCGAACGAGUGGCGGACGGGUGAGUAAUGUCUGGGAAACUGCCUGAUGGAGGGGGAUAACUACUGGAAACGGUAGCUAAUACCGCAUACCAUCAGAUGUGCCCAGAUGGGAUUAGCUAGUAGGUGGGGUAACGGCUCACCUAGGCGACGAUCCCUAGCUGGUCUGAGAGGAUGACCAGCCACACGGGAAGUGAGACACGGUCCAGACUCCUACGGGAGGCAGCGGUGGGUAAUAUUGCACAAGGGGCGCAAGCCUGAUGCGGCCAUGCCGCGUGUAUGAAGAAGGCCUUCGGGUUGUAAAGUACUUUCAGCGGGGAGGCGUAACCCGCAGAAGAAGCACCGUCUAACUCCGUGCCACCAGCGCGGUAAUUC